UACAGAGGUCUCAAGCGUUGUUCGGAUUCAUUGGGCGUAAAGGGUGUGUAGGUGGCGCGCUAAGUCGGGUGUGAAAUUUCGGAGCUUAACUCCGAAACUGCAUUCGAUACUGGCGUGCUUGAGGACUGGAGAGGAGACUGGAAUUUACGGUGUAGCGGUGAAAUGCGUAGAUAUCGGGAGGAACACCUGUGGCGAAAGCGGCGCACUGGACCAUAACUGACGCUGAGGCGCGAAAGCUAGGGGAGCAAACAGG
rnacentral:rRNA from 1 species